CGCAUAUUAUGUUUGCUCUGAAACUAUAUGCUGCUGGCUGACUACAGCUUGUCUAUGCAUGUAAAUGAAACGAUAUGGUGUGCCAUGUUUUAGUGGGAGCAAGAUGUGUCCAACACUGGGAAGUUAAGGUGAAUGGUUGUAAAAGUAGAUUCAAAAUCUUCAAGAAGGCCUGAUGCUAAUAGGAUUUCUGAGAUGUAUUUAUGGUCUGGAUUUGUGCUAUUGUAGUGGGGUGUAAUCUCAUCAAUGAUGGGUUCGUCUUGAGCAGAUAACAGCUGCGUAAGAUUCUGAAUUAAAGGAUGGAUGUCCUCUGAUUUCCGGUGAUUGAUCACAAGUUGGAAACUGGAGUUUAUGCUGCUGGAAGAGUGAUUUAUGUCCCCAGAAUUCCACUCAAUCUCAUCUUCUGUAGAAAGAAGAAUUGGGAAUCACAAAUAAUGCAUUUUGCAAUAAAUAAAUCUGUAAGACUCUCUCUCAGACUCACAGGCGAAUAGUUUCUAGUCAUUUACAUAUAUUUGGCAUAUCUGCAUGGUUCUUACCAUAAAGUUCUCUCUUUCUUUUCUUUUUUUUUUUUUUUCAUUUAUUUUGUUGAAAUAUGAACUUAUAGCUGUACCAGAGUACUGUUUAUCUUUUUCCCACGGAAGAUGAUUAUUAUAUCAUCUGGAAAGUGUUAAUCAUCUUAAAUCAGGUCUUAGUAACUAUUAAAAGAGGAACUUGGAUCCUCACCUUUGAAGGCAAUUGGUUUCUUCUUAAUGGGAGAUGGCAAGUCAUCACUAUAGAAUGUUGCAUCAAGAACAGACACUGGACUUGGUUGUUCUGAGGAAGCUGAUGCUGGUUCAGUAAUUGAUCUCCCUUUCAUUGAUCUUGCUACCGUUUUCUGCAUGAAGAGAAAAUGAAUAUGUCAACAAGAAAGUAUAAAUGAUAUGCAGAUGAUGAAUAAGAGGAAGAGAACGUACUUUUUGUCUCAGAUUGCAGAGAAAUUGUGUCCCCUUGGUGGCUUAAAUCCCUAGCAUAACUACCAAUAUCACUCAAUUCAUCAUCACUUGGCAGAUUUGCAGAUUUUGGUCUCAUUUUGUCGCGAGGGGAACCUGAUUCUGUAGUCUGUC